GGUGAGUCGACCCCUAAGGCGAGGCCGAAAGGCGUAGUCGAUGGGAAACGGGUUAAUAUUCCCGUACUUGGUGUUACUGCGAAGGGGGGACGGAGAAGGCUAUGUUGGCCGGGCGACGGUUGUCCCGGUUUAAGCGUGUAGGUGUGUGUUCCAGGUAAAUCCGGUUCACUUUAACACUGAGGCGUGAUGACGAGGCACUACGGUGCUGAAGCAACAAAUGCCCUGCUUCCAGGAAAAGCCUCUAAGCAUCAGGUAACAUCAAAUCGUACCCCAAACCGACACAGGUGGUCAGGUAGAGAAUACCAAGGCGCUUGAGAGAACUCGGGUGAAGGAACUAGGCAAAAUGGUGCCGUAACUUCGGGAGAAGGCACGCUGACACGUAGGUGAAGUGAUUUACUCAUGGAGCUGAAGUCAGUCGAAGAUACCAGCUGGCUGCAACUGUUUAUUAAAAACACAGCACUGUGCAAACACGAAAGUGGACGUAUACGGUGUGACGCCUGCCCGGUGCCGGAAGGUUAAUUGAUGGGGUCAGCGCAAGCGAAGCUCCUGAUCGAAGCCCCGGUAAACGGCGGCCGUAACUAUAACGGUCCUAAGGUAGCGAAAUUCCUUGUCGGGUAAGUUCCGACCUGCACGAAUGGCGUAAUGAUGGCCAGGCUGUCUCCACCCGAGACUCAGUGAAAUUGAACUCGCUGUGAAGAUGCAGUGUACCCGCGGCAAGACGGAAAGACCCCGUGAACCUUUACUAUAGCUUGACACUGAACAUUGAGCCUUGAUGUGUAGGAUAGGUGGGAGGCUUUGAAGUGUGGACGCCAGUCUGCAUGGAGCCGGCCUUGAAAUACCACCCUUUAAUGUUUGAUGUUCUAACGUGGACCCGUGAUCCGGGUUGCGGACAGUGUCUGGUGGGUAGUUUGACUGGGGCGGUCUCCUCCUAAAGAGUAACGGAGGAGCACGAAGGUUGGCUAAUCCUGGUCGGACAUCAGGAGGUUAGUGCAAUGGCAUAAGCCAGCUUGACUGCGAGCGUGACGGCGCGAGCAGGUGCGAAAGCAGGUCAUAGUGAUCCGGUGGUUCUGAAUGGAAGGGCCAUCGCUCAACGGAUAAAAGGUACUCCGGGGAUAACAGGCUGAUACCGCCCAAGAGUUCAUAUCGACGGCGGUGUUUGGCACCUCGAUGUCGGCUCAUCACAUCCUGGGGCUGAAGUAGGUCCCAAGGGUAUGGCUGUUCGCCAUUUAAAGUGGUACGCGAGCUGGGUUUAGAACGUCGUGAGACAGUUCGGUCCCUAUCUGCCGUGGGCGCUGGAGAACUGAGGGGGGCUGCUCCUAGUACGAGAGGACCGGAGUGGACGCAUCACUGGUGUUCGGGUUGUCAUGCCAAUGGCACUGCCCGGUAGCUAAAUGCGGAAGAGAUAAGUGCUGAAAGCAUCUAAGCACGAAACUUGCCCCGAGAUGAGUUCUCCCUGAGACUUUAGGUCUCCUGAAGGAACGUUGAAGACGACGACGUUGAUAGGCCGGGUGUGUAAGCGCAGCGAUGCGUUGAGCUAACCGGUACUAAUGAACCGUGAGGCUUAACCUU
rnacentral:rRNA from 1 species